rnacentral:hammerhead_ribozyme from 1 species
UUACUGAUGAAGAGUCCCAGACUAGGACGAAACAGCCGUCCAACAG